AAAUAAAUUACAACUAGCAUUCAUAUGAGAACUAUAACAUUAACAUUCACUUAUUAUUACAAAAACAAGUAAAACAUAUUGUACAUCUUCAUUUGCUUUUCAGCAGUUCAUUAGUCCACCUGGAUACCAAAAGCAAAUAAAAAAUGUGAGGAUCUCAGCAAAAGCAGGAUGUGAGAAAAGCAGUAAAUCAACAGCAAUAUUCAGUUACUUUAAUCCAUCCCAUGAAAGCUUUUCAAGUCUUUACUAAAGAAAAAUCAAAAACAAUUCGAGCCAAUUUCAAUGAAGCAAUGCAGAAACUUUUGUUCCUUUAUG
rnacentral:lncRNA from 1 species